rnacentral:rRNA from 1 species
AAACUUUCAACAAUGGAUCUCUUGGUUCCGGCAUCGAUGAAGAACGCAGCGAACUGCGAUAAGUAAUGUGAAUUGCAGAAUUCAAUGAAUCAUCGAGUCUUUGAACGCACAUUGCGCCCCCUGGCACUCCGGGGGGCAUGCCUGUCCGAGCGUCAUUG